UGGGGAAUUUUGCACAAUGGGGGAAACCCUGAUGCAGCGACGCCGCGUGAUUUAGAAGGCCUUCGGGUUGUAAAAAUCUUUUUUAUGGGAUGAAGAUGACAGUACCAUAAGAAUAAGGUCCGGCUAAAUACGUGCCAGCAGCCGCGGUAAUACGUAUGGACCGAGCGUUGUCCGGAAUCAUUGGGCGUAAAGGGUACGUAGGCGGCCCAGUAAGUUAGAAGUGAAAUAAUAUAGCUCAACUAUAUAAAGCUUUUAAAACUGCUAGGCUUGAGAGAUGGAAGGGAAAGUGGAAUUCCUAGUGUAGCGGUGAAAUGCGCAGAUAUUAGGAAGAAUACCGGUGGCGAAGGCGACUUUCUGGUCAUCAUCUGACGCUGAGGUACGAAAGCGUGGGUAGCAAACAGG
rnacentral:rRNA from 1 species